AGCUUCUGUCCCUGUGGAAUUGGGUAUGCCACCCUCCUGGCAGGUGGAUGUGUAUACCAACCCAGAAGUGCCCCAAACCCAGUACUUUGGGGAUUUUUAUAGAGAUUUCAUCAUAUAAUCAUAAUCUGUUAUUAACUCAAUCUUCAGCUCCUCCCCUCUCCUUGGAGGUUUAAUAUUUGUAACCUUCCUUUUUUUGUCUAUUUUUUUUUUUUUUUUUUAGGGCGGGACCCAUGGCAUAUAGAGAUUCCCAGGCUAAGGGUCAAAUAGGAGCUGUAGCUGUCAGCCUGCGCCACAGCAACGCAGGAUCCGAGCUGCGUCUGUGACCCACACCACAGCUCAUGGCAACACCGGAUCCUUAAGCCACUGAGCGAGGCCAGGGAUAGGACCUGCAUCCUCAUGGAUGCUAGUCAGAUUUGUUUCCACUGAGCCACGAUGGGAACUCUGACAUUUUUAAGCUUUUAAUUAUGGUUUUCUGGUCUUUCUUAUGAGCCACCCCCAUCCUGAAGCCCACCUAGAGUUGCUUUAUUAGAACAAAGAAUACACCUAUCACCCAGGAAAUUCCAAGAGGUUUAAGAGAUCUGUGUCAGGAACUGGGGUCAAAGACCAGACAUGAGAACAAAAGAUACUCCUAGAACCCCUAUUGCUCAGCAAAUUAUAGGGGUUUUUAGAGCUCUGGGCCAGGAACCAGGGCAGAGAUUAAUGUAUAUUUCUUAUUAUGUCUCAAUUGAUGUAGUUAAGUUCUCAAACUCUAAUUGCAUUUAGAUGAUAUGUUUUCCUGAUUUUAGUUAUUUAUUGCAGAUAUAUUUGAGUUAACUCAUAAUAUAAUUCAAGUUAAUGAAUGACAGAUGUUAAAUAUCAAAAAUCUUAGGCCUUUUUACAGUAUCCUAUUUAAAUUAAAUGUGUAUUUAAAAUUCAUUUUUUUCUUUUAUUCUUAAUUUUUUUAUUUUUACAGCCACAUCUGUGGCAUAUGGAAAUUCUCAGCCACAUCAAUGCCGGAUCCAAGCCACAUCUGCAAUCUGCACAGCAGCUUGUGGCAACACUUGAUCUUUAGCUCACUGAGUGAGGCCGGGAACCACACUCACAUCCUCAUGGAUCCUAUGUCAGGUUCUUAACCUGUUGAGCCACAAUGGGAGCUCCUAAACAUCUUGUCUUUUUUUUUUUUUUUUAACGUAUUGACCUUUGAGUAUAUGUUGACUGAGAGAGAACAAGUCACAACUCCCAUUCACUGCAGCAGGCAAUGUAGUAGUUAGGCUCAAAACAUUGUCUUUGGCAUCAUCCAGGCCUAGGUUGAAGUCCUGAUUCUGCUAGUAGCCAUCUGUGUGAUCUCAAACAAGGACAUUUAAAAAACGACAAGAUAGAACUUUACCAGGCAGGUGAACUAACAGAAACAAUUAUUUAUCAUUGCUUUUACCCCAUAACAAUGUAAAUGAAAAUAGUAUCCUGUUAAAGAGGGUGCUUUUAAAGAUGGCAUGUUCCUUUAGCUUCUUCAAGAUUUAAAGUUAGUUGUCGUGCAAACACACCUAAAGGAUACUGGAAGUCAGGCAGAUAUGUAUGUGAGGAAUUCACCUGUUGUUGAAUAUUUGCUCUGAUUUUGUUGUUUAUAGUCAACUGAAGGGCUGACAGUUUGGGCAGGCAAUCUUGGAGAUUUGAAUUUUUUCAAAGUUGGUUUUAUUUUUCCCCCCAGAGCUACGAAAAAACCUUUUCAUCCUGUCACACUUCAAGGAUUUAAUUUAACAUCACUUCUACCUGGAUGACACCUUCUCUGACACCCAAGUCUAGGUUCAUAUUCCUCUUAUCUCUGUCCAUUAAUUUAACUAUAUGGUAUUAUAAUGGUAUGGUUCUAACCCGUCUUCCACUAUCCAGAGCAAGGCUGGGUCUGAAUCAUUCACUGCUGUUUUCUAGUGUCUGGCUUAGAGGCUGACACUUAAAAAGAAGCCUACGAAAAAACCUUUUCGAAUGAAUAAAUGAUACAUAGCUUUGUUUUCUCUAUUUGAACAAAAAUAUUUUUGAAAUGGCUCCUGGGAGAACAGUAACAAUAUCCAAUUAUAAAAAUAAUUUAUAAAGCAUUUCACUUAAUAAGUAAUUUAUUGGUCAAAAAAUAAUUAUUUGAUCAGUGUUUUAUUAUACAUUUUAUAAGAUAUGUCCUCUCAUAUAGUAUCUCGAAUACCCAAAACAAUAGCAUGCAUAGUACUGGUUAUUUUAAUUCACGAUUUUACAGCUAGGCAAGAUGUCAGGCUAAUGCUUAGGAGAAUGAGUUUGCUGUUCUCUUGACCAACAGUUAUAAAGUAAACUCUAAUAUAAAGCAGCUGCAAAGAGAAUAUUAAGGAUCUCAUACGCAACUCAUAGAACUCAUCAAAGGACAGACUAGAAGGUCAAAGAAAAACAGCAAGAAUCCUUCUGGAUUAUCUUAUAAGUGACAGCAUGGUGUUUGGUGCUGGGAAUACGAUGGUAAAUAAGACAUGGUCUGUUCCUGCAGAGAGCAGUCUCCAGAAGGCAACAGAAAUAUGACCAAAAAGGCAUGCUGUGUCAUAGGUGAGAAACAGAGUUGAGUUGGAAGCUUAGAUAGCCAGUCGUCCCCCAUCCCAUAGACUAUGGAGAAGGGCAAACUCCGAGGCAGAAAUGCAGGUGUCUCUAACCACAGCUUACUCUGAGGAAAUCCAGAUUUUUAGCAGGCCUGAGGGAUGGAAUGGACAGGCCAUUGCAGGGAGUGCACCUGCAGGGGGACGUAGGACUAGACCAUGGUGUACCAGGGUAAGGGACCAGAGAAGAGCACAUUCAAAUUUGGGGAAGGUCAUCAUUUCUGCUUGGGAAUUAUUAAGGAUUCAGUGCCCUGGGACCAUGAAUGUGCCCUUGGGUGUUUAAGUCUGAGGUUCCCGAGAGGGUUGAACUUCACUGCAAUGUUCUACUAGAAAGAAUGAAGGCUUUCCAGACUGAAGGAUCUAGGACAGGGAAGGGGGUGUCUGAGGAACCACAAGUAUGGGUGAUGAUGAGGGUCACAUCUGGAAAAGGUAGUGAGCUCCUUCUUGAAGUAUCUUAGGUACUGGGCUUAAGAGCCUAAACUUAAUAGUUAACAGCCUAACCUGACAACCUUGAAUAAACAGGGUUAUCAGUAAACUUAAAAAUAUCUUCGCUUAUCUUGUAGAAUAGUAUGUGAGUGAGUGAGUGUGUGUGUGUGUGUGUGAGAGAGAGAGAGAGAGAGAGAGAGAGAGAGAGAGAGAGAGAGAAAGAGAGAGAAACAGAGGCAGGUUUUGAUUUGCAUUUCACUAAUAAUUAGUGAUGUUGAGCAUUUUUUCAUCUGCCUACUGGCCAUCCAUAUAACACAGAGAACAAACUGUGGUUGCCAAGAGGGGUGGGGGGGGGGGGAGUAGGAUGGACUGGGAGUUUCGGGUUAGUAGAUGCAAACAAUUAUAUUUAGAAAUGGAUAAGCAAUGAGGUCCUGCUCUACAGCACAGGGAAGUAUAUUUAAUCUCUUGGGAUAGACUGUAAUAGAAGAUAAAUGAGAAGAUAAUAUAUAUGUAUGGAUGACUAGAUCACUAUGCUGCAUAGUACAGCAGAAAUUGACUCAACCCUGUAAAUCAACUAUACUCUAAUAAAAAUAAUUUUUUUUAAAAAAAGCCAAUGUUUACUGACACCUACCCGAGAGCAAGGAACUCUAUCAAACCUAGAAGGAACUCAUGUAUUCCUCACUAAGAACCUGCCAUAGGGUAAAAGUCAAAUAAAAGGCAAAAGAUUUUUUAAAAUAAUACAAGUAAAUUUUUUCUCAACAUCCUAUCAAUUAGGAGCACCAUUCCUUAAUGUUUUCAAAAUGGAAUGCCCUCUGUGUCCUUAAAUUUGAGCAUAUUUGAUCCUAAGUGACUAGGUUCUAUUUGUAUUUCUGUUAAUUAAUCAUUAUGAGGCAUCUAUAAAUCAAACAUAACUACUUUCAUCUAGCCUUUAGUGUGUCUCUAGGGUGCUCACAUUUCAAUUUGAGACUUAGUUUGCAUUUUUAGGAAACCACUUCGGGGAUUUUGGUAAAAAUCAAAGUGUGGGUUUCCUAAGCAAAGGUACCAUGCGCACUUGGUCCUCCCAUGCUUUUCAGUGAGCCCUCUAACCAAGGCUGUUUCCCCACUGGGCCACAGGCUGGCCCAGAAUCUAAAUGACCUGUGUACCACGUGGAUGAUGGACUGACUACUGCUGUCACACUGUCAUGUUUUUUAUUAAAGUCAUAUUUUAUAAAACGUGUGAAUGUAGGAUUACAGAGAAAGAAAACCGUCCAGCUCCCUGGCAUUUUGUGGUGUGUUGCAUAGUGCCACAAGGAAAUUAAUUGCCCUUUCUAAAACGGUGAGACACCCCAUUAAGCAAAGCUCGAGAAUGUGCAGUCUCUGCCCAAGGCCCCCAGCCAUGCACUCCACAUCUGGUUCAUUUUAAAGUGGUCUGUGCGUGUUAGUGUGGGAUGAGUGAACAGAGACCAUGCCUUGCUGAAAUAUUAGAGCACCAAGGUGCCUCUAGGUUGACUGGUUAUCAACAGGUCUUUAGUACAAGAAGGGCAACCAGGAAAUUGAGUUAAUAUUUAUUACUCGAUCCCAUAACUCGCAUGACCUUUAGCCCAAAUAUGGACUCCAACUGCAAAGCUAAACCCCUAGAGGAUUGAAAUUCAGCAUUGACUUAGUAUUACUGUGGUUAUGACUAGUGUAUUUAUACAUGGAAUAUAUAUAUGGCCUAAUAUAUGUCAGAGCUAAAAUUCAAGUGGCAAUUGGCCUACCCAGUAGGAAAGAAUAACUUGCAAAUUCACACGUGGUUUUGAUUAAAACUUCUAUUUUAAAAGAUAAUUGUUUCCUUAAAUGAUAGUCACAAUGACGAAGUACUUACUAGUAGUUAUAACUUUUUGGGGUAAAUAUGUUGAAUGUCAAUAAGUAUGUUUGAAAAUGUUAAAUCUUGAAUGUUAAACAAUCAAGAGUUUGAGUGCUAGGUCUACUAAUCAGUGUAAGAAUUUAUUUAUAAUAAAUGUGGACAAUAGACAUUAGUAAAAUCAAACAUAAAUGUUUUAUAAUUUUUAAGUCAAAUAUUAGCUUUAAAAAUUUAUGUAAUAAUAAUUUAUUUAGACAGGUUCCAUAUAACUGGAAAAUAUGUUACAUUUCUAAUACCUAUGAUGCAAAUCUAGGGAAAACAUUUCAUAAAUCAUAUAAAUUGAUACAACUUUUAUUUUAUGCCAAGACAGUCUGACAAUAUGAACUCUGAAUACAUCUUAGCAAUUCUAUUUCCAAAAGUUUAACUUAAAAAAAUAAGGAAGCGUGGGAGAAAACUUUCAGAUACAUGAGAAUUAAUAGCCUAAUCUAUUGCAGUAAAAACUUGAACACAAUAUAAGUGUACACCAAUCUGAAUUUACUAAAUAAAAUAUAUAUAUUCCUUAUAUUUUUCUCGCUGUAUAGUGUAUAGAUAUACUAUAUAUGUUUAUGUAUACACAUAUACACAUCAGUGGCCUUUUUCUAGCUGUGGUUUAUAAUUUAAAAAAAUAAUUUGGGGUAGUUCCCACUGUGGCUCAGCAGAUUUUGAACCCAGCUGGUAUCCAUGAGGAUGCAUGUUUGAUCCAUAGCCUUGGUCAGUGGGUUAGGGAUCUGGCAUUGACAUGGACUGUGGUGAAGAUCACAGACAUGGCUUGGAUACCACGUUGCUGUGGUUGUGGUGUAGGCAGGUAGCUGCAGUUCUAAUUUGCCCCCUAGCCUGGGAACUCCCAUAUGCCUCAGGUGUGGCC
rnacentral:lncRNA from 1 species